UGGCGCUGCCCCGGGCGGGCACGGCCGGGCCUGUCCCCCGACUGCGCAGCGCCUGCCCCGGCCCGAUCCCGGCCCGCUGAGCUCCUUUCCGCCCCAGCCUCCCCGGCAGGGCUGCGCGUCGCCCUUGCUGCUUGUGAGGCAGCGCCGCGUUUUGGCAUCAGCCGUGGCUUGUUUGACGGGUUUGGAUGGGAGACGUGACGGGAGCAGCGGUGUCCGGCAGCCAGAACCAAAAGUGCCGUGCUCCAUCCACUGUUGCCGCAGAGGCAAAGCAGCGCGACGCGGUUGCUUAGGUGAUGACAGAAAGACAAACGGUGACAAAGACAGACCUGCAGGAAGAAAUGAAGACCCACUGUGUCUCCAAGCACAGGACAGGGCUGGGAGGAAGAUAAUCUAUCCAUUUGGAAAAACUGAAGACCAGGUAUAUUAAAGGCUCCUGAAACUCAUGGACUUAUUCCUAAUCAUUGGAAGACAUGCUUACACAUCACAGAUCUUCAUUAGCAGAAUUUUAGCUUUCAGAUUUCUGCUUCCAGCCUCAGCUACUUGUUUCAGUCCAUUCAACUCUGUGAACACUGGAAAAGAUGAAUAAAUCCUGGCUUAUAUUCUUUCCUUUUCCUGACUAUCAAAAGUUCAAAUCCAACCAAUAAACAUGCAACAUUUACUUAAUGGCAUGCUUUGUUAAGGAGUACUGUUCAAUCCUUUUGAAUAUGCCAAAAACACAGGAAAACAACUUUUAAAAAUUUAGGAAAAUUACUCUGACUCAUUCAGUUUGUUUCCUUUUUUCCUGCCAUGAUGAAACACUGAGCUAUAAGAAUGGAGGCUUCCAGAAAGAACCAGGGAGUUCUUGUCACUAUUAAAUGUAUCACUACAUUGGGCUAUAUUUUUCCCCCAGGGUUAGAAUUACCAGUCUUUUAGGUUGUUCUCCCUAAAGGUGGAAGGGAAGAACAUGCUAAAGAAAUAAUAACCAAGUCAAGAAAAUAUCUUUCACUGAAAAAAACAAAAAUUAAAUCCUAAUAUUCCAAACAGCAGAAUGACUGACAGCCACUAAUUUAAAUCAGUAAGAGAGCUGGGUUCACUUGUCUUCAGUCUUUCUGGUUUUCUGUCCAGAGCUGAGAGCACAUUCCUGCAGUCCAAAACUUAGCACAUUUUUCCCUUUCUGAUGUAUGCUGCCUCCUUCAGAUAUUUUCUAAUUUCUACUCCUGUCUGAGCCUAAUCCGGGCUUCAAACUUCCUAAGUAUGCUAUCUUUAUUUUGUGAAAGCUUUUUUUAUAUUAAUUCAAGCCAUCUAAUCAAUUAACACAAUGAAGUUCAACUCACAUAGACUGGUUUUCAACCAGCACUUAAAGUUCACUAUUUCUGUUUCAGGCCUGAAAUUCAAAAACAUUUUUUCCAAAAGUAUCACUCGGUCUAGUAAAAGAGAUUUAUUUCCUCUCUCUUGAAAGGAGCUAUUCUUUUGUGAACACUACUAGCAGUGUGCUCUUGGACGCAGAUUUUCUAUGUUGCUGUCCUCUACUAUAUAUUGUAUUCCUCUAAUUUACAUCACAUACUACUCAAAACCAACACCUUGACUAUUAUAAGAAUUUUGUCAAGGACAUUUCACAAAUAAACCGUACUGCAGGAGAUCAGUUUUCUCAAUGCUUUGCUAAAAAUUCAGUCCAGCAUUUUGCUUAUCAACUGUACAAUAAUGGUUUCUUUAGGACCAGCCUGAUCUAAAAAAGCACAUUCAGAGUUCGUAUCUAGAUUUUAGAAAACCCUAAAGUUCAAGGAAAACUCCAAAGUCGAGGUGUACAUUUGUAUUUUUACACUCCCCCCAUCACACUGUAGCACCUACAAUGCAGUAUGACAGGAUUAAUGGCUUAAUUUCUAGCCAAUUUAUUUUCUAAUUCCAUCUGGCUUCAUUUUACACUUUCACAAUCCAGUGACUUUGUUGACACUGCAAGACAGGAAUAAAGUCACAUACACAAUGUUGUGUUUGGAUGCUGCAAUGUAUUACAGAAUUCAGACAGAAAUAGAAAAUGGCAAAGCAUGUGCAGAAGUCAUCCCAGAACUCUGCCAAGGCACUCUGGGUUUCUCCGAGGCUGGAUAGUAUUUUACUCAAACAACUACAGAAUAUGCAUAUUUUUUUUUUUGUUUCAAAUAGCGAACAAAGUCUGUUUAAAAUAAUGUUCUUAUUAUAAUAUAAACAAAGCACAGCCUCUAUACCUUCUAUGUUUAAUCCACUGUAACAUAUAAGGGGGAUGGAGAGAGAUUGGAUAA